rnacentral:rRNA from 2 species
AAAAGAAACCAACAGGGAUUGCCCCAGUAACGGCGAGUGAAGCGGCAACAGCUCAAAUUUGAAAUCUGGCCUUCGGGUCCGAGUUGUAAUUUGGAGAGGAUGCUUCUGGCGCGGCGCCGUCCGAGUUCCUUGGAACAGGACGCCAUAGAGGGUGAGAGCCCCGUACGGGCGGACGCCUAGCCUUUGUGAAGCUCCUUCGACGAGUCGAGUAGUUUGGGAAUGCUGCUCAAAAUGGGAGGUAAAUUUCUUCUAAAGCUAAAUACCGGCCAGAGACCGAUAGCGCACAAGUAGAGUGAUCGAAAGAUGAAAAGCACUUUGAAAAGAGGGUUAAAAAGUACGUGAAAUUGUUGAAAGGGAAGCGCCUGUGACCAGACUUGCUGCCCGCGGAUCAUCCGGCGUUCCUCGCCGGUGCACUCCGCGGGCGGCAGGCCAGCAUCGGUUUUCCUGGGGGGUCAAAGGUCGCGGGAACGUGGCUCCUUCGGGAGUGUUAUAGCCCGCGGCGUCAUGCCUCUGGGGGGACCGAGGA